rnacentral:rRNA from 1 species
UUAGAGUUUGAAUCCUGGCUCAGAUUGAACGCUGGCGGCAGGCCUAACACAUGCAAGUCGAGCGGAUGAGUGGAGCUUGCUCCAUGAUUCAGCGGCGGACGGGUGAGUAAUGCCUAGGAAUCUGCCUGGUAGUGGGGGACAACGUUUCGAAAGGAACGCUAAUACCGCAUACGUCCUACGGGAGAAAGCAGGGGACCUUCGGGCCUUGCGCUAUCAGAUGAGCCUAGGUCGGAUUAGCUAGUAGGUGAGGUAAUGGCUCACCUAGGCGACGAUCCGUAACUGGUCUGAGAGGAUGAUCAGUCACACUGGAACUGAGACACGGUCCAGACUCCUACGGGAGGCAGCAGUGGGGAAUAUUGGACAAUGGGCGAAAGCCUGAUCCAGCCAUGCCGCGUGUGUGAAGAAGGUCUUCGGAUUGUAAAGCACUUUAAGUUGGGAGGAAGGGCAGUAAGUUAAUACCUUGCUGUUUUGACGUUACCAACAGAAUAAGCACCGGCUAACUUCGUGCCAGCAGCCGCGGUAAUACGAAGGGUGCAAGCGUUAAUCGGAAUUACUGGGCGUAAAGCGCGCGUAGGUGGUUCAGCAAGUUGGAGGUGAAAUCCCCGGGCUCAACCUGGGAACUGCCUCCAAAACUACUGAGCUAGAGUACGGUAGAGGGUAGUGGAAUUUCCUGUGUAGCGGUGAAAUGCGUAGAUAUAGGAAGGAACACCAGUGGCGAAGGCGACCUACCCUGGACUGAUACUGACACCUGAGGUGCGAAAGGCGUGGGAGCAACCGA